AUUGAACGCUGGCGGCAUGCCUUACACAUGCAAGUCGAACGGUAGAGGGGGCAACCCCUUGAGAGUGGCGAACGGGUGAGUAAUGCAUCGGAACGUGCCCAGUCGUGGGGGAUAGCCCGGGGAAACCCGGAUUAAUACCGCAUACGACCUGAGGGUGAAAGCGGGGGACCAGUAAUGGCCUCGCGCGAUUGGAGCGGCCGAUGUCGGAUUAGGUAGUUGGUGGGGUAAAGGCCUACCAAGCCUGCGAUCC
rnacentral:rRNA from 1 species